UACCUCUGGAGGCUUUUCCCAGAAAUUCUGAUGUUGACUCAGUUCUCGUCGUUUGAUCCCGGAUGAGCCCCCAAAUGUUGGGUCCGUUAUCAAAGGAACGAGACUGAUACAAAGCAAAAGUCAAGCA